CAUUUUUAAAGUAAUGAUAACACGUUUUUAAGAAGGGUCAAUAAUUAUGCCUGUGAAAGUGAGUGGGGGAUCACUCCUUUAGCAGUAUCAGGAGACGAAAUAAAUUAAGGGUUACUUUAGAAGAUUUCAGUAAGAUCCAAAUCAGUAGCACAUUUAAGCAGAGUAGUUUAUGCAGAGAAAGGUGAUCAGUUUCAGGCAUUUAGGGAAGGACUGUCAAUCCAACUCUUGCAGGGCAACUGUGAAAAACAUUAAAUAUGGAGAUGAGAUUUCAAGCCCCUCCACUCCUUCACCCCUGACAGAUGAUUCUCUUUAUUACACUGACAAGGAAGGUCCAUGAGGAGGUUAGGGCUCAGGGCAGGACCAGCCCUCUGCUCACACUCAUUCCCCAUAUUUUAGAUGUAUGUUCAGUGGUAUGCACAUGUAACAGAGCUGCAUGAUUAAUGUGAUUUCCCUUCAAGGUCUGUAAAGCAGCUGUACUAUUACAGUGUUUGCAAGUUUAUAAGACACAUCUUUAUCGUGGUUGGCACAUGGUGCAACUGGAAAUUGAGCCUCAGUCCUAAAAUACACCUCUGCAGUACAAGUUAAAGCUUUAAAGCUUCGAAAUAUGCGAGGAUACCAGGAUUACAUGAGGUUACUGGUUUUGUUUGUGGGAUUAUUUACCUCUGUAUGUACUUCCUAGUCUGGCUUCACUCAGCUGGGUUGUCUUCUUGGCAAGAUGGACCUGAGCAGGAUGAGAAGGUUUGUAAAGGUAGAAGGUCUCAUGCAUCUGCCGCUUUGUCUCAGCAAUCACCAUGCCCUGCAAAUCCAGACCAGCAAUAUGCACUUACAAAACUAUGUUUUGAACAGUUCAGCGACCAUGUGUCAGUGAGUGGCAUUUACUGACAAAAGUCACUAUUAGGAAGAAAUGCUUUCUUCAGAGGCAUCUACAUCAUCUUUUAAAUUUAUUUACCAUUUUUGUCUCUAAAUCAAGAGCUAAAGCAAUUUUUGAACUGAAAAAGUUGUAAGAGGUGUACAUGGAAUUUUGUCAUGUCUGAAGUUUCUUAAGUGCUUAUCCAUCAUCACCAGUCCACUAUCAUUUUCUUUAAAAAGAAUCAGCUAGUAUUUUAACCAGUGUUAACCAACUACAGUUCUAUAUUUUCAUUAGCAGAGACUCAUGGGAUUACAGCUAAAAUAUGACUCUUUAAAAAAGUAGUUUGUUGCCGAUAGAUAUCAUCACUGGUAACAGAAGGCUGAACAAGACACCUCAUGGCCUCCAGCUCUCCACCUUCCAGGAGGAGGUUGAAGACUAAACACAAAAGAGGAACACUCAAAGCUCAGAGGAGUUCUGACAAGAAAACUCCUAAGUAUCCAGAUAUGCUGACAUCUGUAGCAUUUUUCAAAGUACACCGAGUGAACAGUGAAUGUAAAAAAACUGUAGUAAUAAUGACACAAAACAUGCCUUUCAAAAACUCUUCUAGAUUUGACAAUUUCUCUUUCAAGGCCAGAUAUUUACUAAGUCUGCCCAAUAAACAAAUAGACCAACAAGCUUAGAUCUUUUCACUUCCUAAAAUAAUAAGUCUUUCUUUUGUUUUACUUAGAGUCUCUGUUAUCCCAGGUUUGGUGGUUCAUAUACACAGCUGUUCAGCAGAUAAAUUCUCACAGCCGAACCCAAGUGAGGAGUUAUAUAAGGUCACUCUAGUG